UACGAAGGGGCUAGCGUUGCUCGGAAUCACUGGGCGUAAAGCGCACGUAGGCGGCUUUCUAAGUCAGGGGUGAAAUCCUGGAGCUCAACUCCAGAACUGCCUUUGAUACUGGAGAGCUUGAGUCCGGGAGAGGUGAGUGGAACUCCGAGUGUAGAGGUGAAAUUCGUAGAUAUUCGGAAGAACACCAGUGGCGAAGGCGGCUCACUGGCCCGGUACUGACGCUGAGGUGCGAAAGCGUGG
rnacentral:rRNA from 1 species